rnacentral:rRNA from 1 species
GACGAACGCUGGCGGCGCGCCUAACACAUGCAAGUCGAACGAGCGAGAGAGAGCUUGCUUUCUCGAGCGAGUGGCGAACGGGUGAGUAACGCGUGAGGAACCUGCCUCAAAGAGGGGGACAACAGUUGGAAACGACUGCUAAUACCGCAUAAGCCCACGGGUCGGCAUCGACCAGAGGGAAAAGGAGCAAUCCGCUUUGAGAUGGCCUCGCGUCCGAUUAGCUGGUUGGUGAGGUAACGGCCCACCAAGGCGACGAUCGGUAGCCGGACUGAGAGGUUGAACGGCCACAUUGGGACUGAGACACGGCCCAGACUCCUACGGGAGGCAGCAGUGGGGAAUAUUGCACAAUGGGGGAAACCCUGAUGCAGCGACGCCGCGUGGAGGAAGAAGGUCUUCGGAUUGUAAACUCCUGUUGUUGAGGAAGAUAAUGACGGUACUCAACAAGGAAGUGACGGCUAACUACGUGCCAGCAGCCGCGGUAAAACGUAGGUCACAAGCGUUGUCCGGAAUUACUGGGUGUAAAGGGAGCGCAGGCGGGAAGACAAGUUGGAAGUGAAAUCCAUGGGCUCAACCCAUGAACUGCUUUCAAAACUGUUUUUCUUGAGUAGUGCAGAGGUAGGCGGAAUUCCCGGUGUAGCGGUGGAAUGCGUAGAUAUCGGGAGGAACACCAGUGGCGAAGGCGGCCUACUGGGCACCAACUGACGCUGAGGCUCGAAAGUGUGGGUAGCAAACAGGAUUAGAUACCCUGGUAGUCCACACCGUAAACGAUGAUUACUAGGUGUUGGAGGAUUGACCCCUUCAGUGCCGCAGUUAACACAAUAAGUAAUCCACCUGGGGAGUACGACCGCAAGGUUGAAACUCAAAGGAAUUGACGGGGGCCCGCACAAGCAGUGGAGUAUGUGGUUUAAUUCGACGCAACGCGAAGAACCUUACCAAGUCUUGACAUCCCUUGACGAUGCUGGAAACAGUAUUUCUCUUCGGAGCAAGGAGACAGGUGGUGCAUGGUUGUCGUCAGCUCGUGUCGUGAGAUGUUGGGUUAAGUCCCGCAACGAGCGCAACCCUUAUGGUCAGUUACUACGCAAGAGGACUCUGGCCAGACUGCCGUUGACAAAACGGAGGAAGGUGGGGAUGACGUCAAAUCAUCAUGCCCUUUAUGACUUGGGCUACACACGUACUACAAUGGCGUUAAACAAAGAGAAGCAAGACCGCGAGGUGGAGCCAG